AAGUCGUAACAAGGUUUCCGUAGGUGAACCUGCGGAAGGAUCAUUGCUGAUGCCGGCGGCAUGGUCGAGCCCUCGCGAGGGGGUGAGGCCUGCCGCUUUCAACAUCAUCUGCCCCUUUGUGAACCUGGCAUUGGAGCGCCGACCGCGCGAGUGAGCUUUGGGGCCCACUCGCCUCAGGCCUCCUCUGCCCAACAACCUGUCUUUUAUUGCCUGUCUCCCCAGACUGAAGCAACAAAAAAACAAAAACAUAUCUUACAACUUUUAACAAUGGAUAUCUUGGCUCGC
rnacentral:misc_RNA from 1 species